UCGUUCAAGUUGAUUAAGGGUGAGCC
rnacentral:piRNA from 1 species